AGAACGAACGCUGGCGGCAUGCCUAACACAUGCAAGUCGAACGAGAUCUUCGGAUCUAGUGGCGCACGGGUGCGUAACGCGUGGGAAUCUGCCUUUCGGUACGGAAUAACUCAUGGAAACGUGUGCUAAUACCGUAUGAUGUCGCGAGACCAAAGAUUUAUCGCCGAGAGAUGAGCCCGCGUAGGAUUAGCUAGUUGGUGGGGUAAAGGCCUACCAAGGCGACGAUCCUUAGCUGGUCUGAGAGGAUGAUCAGCCACACUGGGACUGAGACACGGCCCAGACUCCUACGGGAGGCAGCAGUGGGGAAUAUUGGACAAUGGGCGCAAGCCUGAUCCAGCAAUGCCGCGUGAGUGAUGAAGGCCUUAGGGUUGUAAAGCUCUUUUACCCGGGAAGAUAAUGACUGUACCGGGAGAAUAAGCCCCGGCUAACUCCGUGCCAGCAGCCGC
rnacentral:rRNA from 1 species